GCGGCAUGCCUUACACAUGCAAGUCGAACGGCAGCGCGGGAGCAAUCCUGGUGGCGAGUGGCGAACGGGUGAGUAAUACAUCGGAACGUGCCCAAUCGUGGGGGAUAACGCAGCGAAAGCUGUGCUAAUACCGCAUACGAUCUACGGAUGAAAGCAGGGGAUCGCAAGACCUUGCGCGAAUGGAGCGGCCGAUGGCAGAUUAGGUAGUUGGUGAGGUAAAGGCUCACCAAGCCUUCGAUCUGUAGCUGGUCUGAGAGGACGACCAGCCACACUGGGACUGAGACACGGCCCAGA
rnacentral:rRNA from 1 species